rnacentral:tRNA from 1 species
CGAGAUGUAGCGCAGCUAGGUAGCGUAUCUGUUUUGGGAAUAGAAGGACGUAGGUUCAAAUCCUAUCAUCUCGA